GCUCACUUACACGGUGGGGUUAAACGCAUCUUCAUUAUUAGAAGAACCCUGACUUUCUGAUACUACACAAAGGAACUCUAGUAAACCCCCUCUAGCCAUUGCCGGGAACCGGGAGCAGAAGGUUAUGCACAGUGAGAAGCUACAAUCAAUGGAGCCUCAUCAAGGGCAGAUUAGCACAGCUUCUGUCUCCGUGAGGACUCCGGCAUCAGCUCAAGAGGCGUUCUCAGGGCUCUAAGGAUUCCAGCCAAGCCCUCACACAGAAACCGACUAAAUUACGACAGAAUUGUGUGCCUUCUUGUCUUCCUUCCCGACCUCCCAGGACUGAGGACUGAACCCUGGUCCCCUAUAUAAAAGCACCCUGUCACUGAGUACUCUAGGGACAGGGUCUGCACCCCAAA